GGCUACGUAAGUGCAAGAAAUCAGCCUAAAAACCCUGCUAAUGACCUCAUUAUUGGGCAAGCACUUGAAACAAGCCCCUCCGGCUGCGCACGUGCACUGCCAACCUGAUGCCUAUCACUGACCUCUACCGUGGUUGCACGUCCAGGAGGAGAGGCUUUGAUCAGAGCAGGCAGCAGCAUGGGAAAACAGGCUUUACUCUCCACAACUGUGGCAGCUAGAGACAGAACAGCUCACUGAGAAGAAAUGAAUACAUUGGAAUAGAAAAUGAUGAUCAAAAAAUAAAAACAAUGUUUUUCUAGAUCUUCACCCAUUUAUUUGGCUUUGGCCUCAGUGAUCCUGCCGAUGAGUUGAACACUCUGGGAAGGACGGUCCCUCGUCCCUAACAACGAGCUGUGAAAUGAAUCUUUACCCCGUGAGUGACAAAUCCAGAAAUCAACCAGGCUACAGACGUGACUGACAAGUGUCACAUUCACAGGGAGGAAGUGUGGGCGACACAGGACUUCAUAAUCCAAAUUUAAACAGUGCCCAUAGCAAACAGAAAUUUAAAGUUGCUUUAGAUGAAUUUAAAAAAUCAGGCGCUCCCGCUAAGCGGCUUGUCUCGAAGGUGAGCUGACUCAGGCAGACCUUCCUACCUGUGAGCGACCUUCCUACCUAAGGAACAGAAAUCCGAAAACAGCACCCCCAAAGUCAUCUUUCUAAGAAAAGGAAUUUUCCUAAGGGAAAGUGAAGACCAUUGCACAGGUCAGCACAGCACGAAGCACCCCGGCCCGCCCCGCUCUGCCCUCUGGCCCCCCGAGAAGCACAGCUCAAAGCACAGGCAUCGAGUUUAGAUUCCAGCAAAUGCCAGAAGGUGACAAGCUCCGUCUUUAUCACCAACUGGUCAGAACUGGAUAUCUUUACAGAAGACUUAGCACAGAACAUAAAAAAAGCCUCACCUCUGAAAAAUGGAGAUUUUAGAUGAACUUCAAGGGAAGUUUGAGGAAGAGCAAGGAACAGCAGUCUGGAGAGAUGUUUGGCGUGAGAGCAGAAAUUCUGGAAUAACUGGAGAUCAAAUAGCCACUCCUGACCACGUCAUCUCUGAGUCCCAGUGGAGAGGUCAAUUAAAGGCACCUUCAUCCCCGACCUCACCCGCAGCAGCCUCACGGCCUUUGAUUAAUGGGAGGGCGUGGCUCGAGCCCACUGCAGCUUUCCAGAGGCUCCUUCCGACUUGGGGUUUGAUUUUAGCGUCUCAGGACACGGAAGACCCCUCCUCUCACCCGACUGCCGUGGAGGCGGCCGUGUUCAAUGUGGGCGGGACAUUAUGGGGAAACCAAAAUAAGCGCAGAGCAGGGCCCUUGACCUCAGCACUGUUGACACCUUGGUACCAUGCCUCUGGCCUGUGACUCACAGGAUGGUGAGCAGCACCCAGUUCUCUACAUACCCGGUGCCAGCAGCACUCUGUACCCCAGAGUCUGUCACAACCAAAAGUCUCUCCGGACGUUGCCAAAUGUGCCCUGGGAGGCAAAAUGGUCCCCGCUGAGAACGCCUGAUCUGGAGGCACUUGCGCCCUCCUCCGAGGGGCCCGCACUGCAGAAGCAGGCUGACUCAUCACCCUGUACAGGUACGCCACGCCCCCAGAGACCGCGGGCCAGGGAGAGACCCUCCAACGCGUCAUCUAACGUCCGCGGCCCACGUUUGUCCAGCGAGAGCUCCAGGGUGAGCCCAGCUAGCGUUGUCGGGCAGAGCAGGCAGGUAGGCGGCCCACACUCAGGUAGCACGUGGGGCCACAGGGCGGGAAGGAGGCUCAGAGCCAGAGGGGCUGGGGGUGCCAAGGCCGAGCACGUGAUCGUGGACGCGGGCUGGGAGGAAGGCCACUGCGAGCGAGAAGGUCAGAGACCCGGGCUGUGCCUGCUGGCCCCCCGGGUGGCCCCGUUGAAAGGGGUGAGCGCUGAAGCAGGAAGGCCGCCAGGAGGCCACCUGCACAGCCCACACAGACAGCGCGGUCACAGCAGAGGUUUGGGCGGGGUUCUGGUCGGAGCCCCUGCUCCUUAUUAGUCUGUCAUUUAGAAGCGCCCCUGUGCCUUCUCCCGGCUUCCUGUGUCAAAUGGGAGAGAUGAAGCCACCAGACAGGAUGUCCGGUGACAGCAGGAGCCCAGGCUGGCACGAGACGGGCCGUCAGUGAGAAUCUGCAGCACAGUCUGUUAUGCUAAAGUAUACACAUUACUUUUCCUGCAAAACAAGGGACGCGAGCAUCACAGUUUAUGUGCGGAUUGGGGGAGCCACAGGCGGAGUCUGGAGGCUUCAUUAGCUUGGAUCAGGUUUAUGGCUUCAGCCGGCAUUUCUGAGGCUCCUGGAGAGCGUCGCCCACUCCCAGGCAGCUGCCCCCCUUCGAGCCCCGAUUCUGGCUCUGCCUCACUGCCGUUUGGGGUUCUUAUUCUUGGACAAGUACAACUACAACUAUAUAGAAAAGGACACACGUCGACCAAGACUGGAAGGAAACACAGUAAACAACAGACUUGCUCAUUGCAGGGCUGGAAUUGUGGGCGUUUUCUUGCUUUUCAGACGACCCUGAGAACUCGCGAGAAUGCUCCUCCCCGUCCCCGUCCGCAACAAUACUCAGGUUAAGGAACCCGAACUUCAUUCCGGAAGCAGCCGUAAAUGACCCACUGGCAGGAUUUAAACAGGAAGACAUUGAAUUCUCACUGAACACGAACGUCUAACUCUUCUGCCCGAGAACAUUUUCCAUCUCUCUUAAGAAGUUCUAUAUCGUCUGCUGGAUUCGAAAAGUCACCGAGGAGACACAAAAUCAGGGGCGCUGACCCUUCUCUAUAAAUAGCAUCUGUCAGUGACCGCAGAUGCCCAGACCGAGGCGGCUCGCCGUGUGCCGCCACGGAAUUCUGGACACGCGAGGACUUCCAAUGUCACUCCAAUGUCAUUAGUGCCACUUAGUUUAAGAGGUGCAGACACCAGGGGAGGAAAGAGCCACGAGCUCUUUCAAAAGGAAGACGUGCACACACGUGCACGCACACACACACACAAACACGUGCACACACACAUGUGCACACACAUGCACACACAAGGCAACACAAACACGCACACACACAUGCACGCAAGGCACACAUGUGCACGAACAGACACGUGCACACACACAUGCACACGCACAUUCACACACACAGGUACACACGUGCACACACGUGCACACACACAGGCACGCACAUGGCAAGCCAGAACGGACCAGACUAAGGAGUGGGUACGGCCCACUCCCCCAGUUCCUCCGGAGGGGCCCCGGCCACGGGGACAGCGGCAAGGAGCUGCAGAGCCGCGCACCCCUCCCCCUCCGCCCCGCCCCGCCCGUCCCCCUGCACGUCUCACGUCGCUGCUCGAACAUGGACACUCCACACACUUCGGCAUCGCAAUGGUUCACCUGACUGGGAAGCGUCUCCCUUAAGCGUCCAAUGGCACCUGUGGGCCAGCGAGAGAGAAUCGAUUCUGUGCCGUCCUGGGUUCCUGACGUGCGACAAACAAAUGAGCUUCCGUGGGACCACGGGCUGUGCCUGGAUUUGCCGUCACAGGUUGAGAUUUGCAUUUCAGACCCUUCGCUGACUUGACGCAUCCGGGGCAACGUGGGGAGGACACGUGUGCGGUGCAGGUUGGCACGCGGGCCCGCAGCCGCGUGCACGCUGACGCGGGUUCACUGCUCGUCACCUGAGGGGAACCUCUGCUGUCACGGCGAUGCCACCCCAUGAGCCGGAAGGGGUUCCCUCGGCUCGGGAUGCCAAGACCCUUUUGGCUCGACAGACCGGUUCUCCAUGUGCAGACACGGUCGGCCUCGCUGGAUGACGUGCGGGGGAACGGAGGCCUCGGGGCGGGGGCCCCGGGGCUGCCCUCACCGCUGGCGGUGCCCCCGUGCUGUGCACCCCGCCUCCGCUGCGCGCUCAAGGAAAACCUUUCUCCGGAGGCGGAGGUGGGUGACAGAAACGGGAGCCAACGCCCUGUGCCGGAGGCAGCCGCAGCCUGCGGGCUGGCCUUGGUGUCUCAGCACAGCCUGUGGAGAGAGAGGGUCCACUCCCCAACAGGCGCAGAUGGGGCGAGGGCUCGCCAAGGCCCUGCCACCGUGCGCGCCGGGGCCAGGCCAGGGGCCUGCACGUCCACGCGGACACCGGCACGGAGCCCGCCGGACGCCCCCGCACGCUGACCGUGUGCGGACGCUGUGCUGACACUGCCUUUGUCUCAUCUCAUUCCAGCCUUGACGGCUCUGAAAGGUCGGUUCCAGUGUCCCUUCGUGGAAGCUGAGGCUCGGGGUUGCGUCACGUACCCGGGUUGACAGAGGUUCCAGACGGCUCGGCUGCUGAGGGACUCUCCGUGGUCCUGACUCGUCCUCGCCCUGCCCCGGGCCUCCAUCGGACCAAAGCCACAGUGGCCGGGGCCUCGGACACGACAUGGCCUGGCCACUGCGCCCAGCGAGGCCACUACCCCAGUCUUGACACGUGACCUGUCCAAGGCCACAUGGCCGGACGGCACAGGGAGGAGCUGGAGCACAGACUUCCUAGAACGAUGCCGCCUCCAUUUCAAGACUGCCGCUUGCCAGCUAUGUUCCAGCCAACAGCUGUUCUUCGUGACCUUUCAGACAUGUCCCUCUCUGUGAAAAGCCCAACUGGCAAGUGAUCCUUCGAGCACGCAUUACUUUCUUCCUAUUAGAAUUACCUCCAUCCAUCGCCAUUUGGCAAAUGUCCAAGAGCAUCGGAAAGCAUCCUCCUCCAGCCGGUUUUCAUUAAAUGACGCGGUGUCUAAUAUUCAAAUUUGUCCAGACUCUUCCUGAUCUUCUGCCAGGAGCUGACCCGAGCUGAUUCUGCAGGCAGUGACAUGUCACGGUGUCAAGUGAACACACUCACACGGGGGUGGGAGUUACGGAGACGUGGAGGCUUUCCUGCGCGCCGGCCACGGUCUCCUAGGGAACAGUGCGACGGGACAGUCUGUGUUUAUCAAGAUCAUGCUGCCUUUUCCUUUUGUUAAAGCGAGGGGUGCGUCUGAGUGUUUUCCCAAGGCAGAGUCAUCGUUUCGGUCCUACUUAACUCAGCUUUCGGCUGCUCCUUCAUCUGCUCAACAUACAUCUUCUAAGACAAAAUCCACUGGAGAAUCCAUUUUAGGGAUUAUCAGGCUCCUGGUUAGGCAAGUCUGUUUUGGUUGAUUUGUUGUUUGUGUGUGUGUGUGUGUGUGUGUGUUUUGGUCUAUGAGGAAGCUGUUCAACUCUUAAUCUCAAUUAAGAAAAAAUAUUUGCAACAGCUAUGGAAAGGGUUAAUAUGUAAUGUAUAAAUCAGCAAAAAAGAAAAAAAAAAAAACCCCAAAACCAUAGUAACACUCCAAGACAUGUUUUGACAACUCAAAAAAGAACUUCAAAAAACUGAGAACCAAAGAGCUACCGGUUUUAGCAUCAAAUUUACAAGGGCUAAGAAUAAUGAUGCCACCUCACCCGGGGACAGGGGACAGACGACAGGAGGCCAGUGAGACCCAUGCGACCUCUCGGGAAAGCAAUGUGGAGCCAGGGGUCUGCUCUCAGGCCCUGCACGUUUACACUCUCAGUUUAUGCUUCUUAUACGCCACUUUACGGAAAUAAUUCGAGGCAUAGACAUUAUUUACUCCGAAAGACGUUCGCUGCAAUGUUCACAACUGCAAACAAACACAAAACCUGCAGACAAUCGGUGUCCAACAGUUAGGGCCAUCGACGCGGUGCUCUGUGGCCACCAAAACGUUCGUCGGAGCAUUCGCUACAAGGAUCGUGCUUCUUUCUUUCCUUAAAAAAAGAGAAUUAAAAAUCUAGCAUUCCCAGAUACGUCGUGGGACUAUGUUCAACCACAUCCACAGAUAGAAGAACGGGAGACGUAAAACAAAUCAUAACACGGAUAACAGGCUCCAGGCUUGGUCAUAGUACAGGACGUGAGAUUUAUUUUCUAUUGUCUGAAGUUUCCUGUUUUCUAUAAUGAACAACGCGUUACAGUUAAUAUAACAAAUUAAACAUUUCCUUUAACCAACAA